rnacentral:sRNA from 1 species
GCCGGGUGUGGUGGUGCAUGCCUGUAAUCCCAGUUACUUGGGAGGCUGAGGCAGGAGGAUCACUUGAGCCUGGGGAAUCGAGGCUGCAGUGAACAAUCAUGCCACUGCACUCCAGCCUGGGCGACAGAACGAGACCCUGUCUCAA